rnacentral:lncRNA from 1 species
GGCCCGAGCGCGCCGCGGGUCCCGGGGCUGCGGCGGCGCCGAGCGGGCAGCGCGGCCGGGCACCGAACCCCGGCCCUGAGGGACGGGGAGCGCGGGCGCGGAGUGCCGGGGCGCCCGGGCCGUGCGGGGAUGGGGAGCGCUGGGUGCCGGGGCCGUGAGGGGAUGGGGAGCGCUGGGUGCCGGGGCUGUGAGGGGAUGGAGAGUAUUGGGUGCCGGGGCCGUGAGGGGAUGGGGAGCGCUGGGUGCCGGGGCCGUGCGGGGAUCGGAGCGCUGGGCGCUGUAGCCGUGAGGGGAUGGGGAGCGCGGAGCUGUAGCGGGCAGAGAUGGGGCCGGUUGCGGUAACGCGCUCCGUGUCACAGAAAGUUUGAGCCCCCGGGGCGGUGCGUGGGCCUCUCCUGCACUCUUCUCCCGGUUUUCCCGGAUGGCACCUUUGUCGUCUCCCUCGGAACGCUGGCUUUCCCUGCCCUAGCACGGAAUGACAAAGGAAGCUUCCCCAGGCUCCUCCGUGCUGGAGCAAGGGAAUGACUUCAGAGCUGUCACGGCUGUCAUUAGCAAGGAUCGCCUGUACCUCAAACCCUGACAUGAGAAAGAUGGCACCAACAGGCAUGAGAAAUUCAAACAACCUUGAGCCAUUUUAUCCUACAAGGCAACUUUUCAAAAGGUGGUACCUGGGAGUUGUAUCUUCCCUUUUUUCUCUCAGGCUCUCAAGAAUUCCUGAUUAUUCAGCCUCAGUUUUCUUGCUUUGCUACCAAAACCACCUUUGAGAAAGCCAUAUGUUCAUCAGAAGAUACUUGCAUGGUCUAAGUUAUUUCAGCACCUGAUCAUCACCCAAUAGUCCUUGAGCCAGGGCUUGCUGAUUUGUUACACCAGCAAACAAAAAGAUACUUGUAGACCUUUGGAAAAACAAAAACAAAAACAAAAACAAAAACAAAACAAAAACAAACAAACAAACAAACAAACAAACAAACAACAACAAAAAAAAAAACAAACAAAAAAAAAAACAGA